CAGACUUGUCAGGACAUCAUGCCCCACUCCCUCCAGCAAACGGGAAAAGGAAUUUAAGAUGUAUAUCGGCAGCAACAUCGACAAUUAUGAGGAUAGUAUUAAAUCACUCAAAACCUGAUGUUUUGGUGAGCACCCAUUGUUCCUGUGUGGGGGCUGUGCCUCAUGCAAUCAUUUGGUUGCCCUUCUUUAUCAGACUGCUCAUUAUUCGCAGCUAAACAUCCCUGCUGCAUCCCCAGUACACAGCUGCACAGACCCUGAGCAGUUCUGGCAUAAACCAAGGACACUGGUCCCGUCCAAUGGCUACUUUGGCUUCUUUGAUUGCUGUACUGUCUUCAUCUCCUGGUGUCAUGGAUUUGACAAUCAUUUCCUUCAGAGGGAGGAUCAUUGAU